rnacentral:tRNA from 2 species
UCCCUGGUGGUCCAGUGGUUAAGACUCUGCACUCCCAAUGCAGGGGGCCCGGGUUCAAUCCCUGGUCAGGGAA